rnacentral:rRNA from 1 species
CUUGCGGCGUGCUAUACAUGCAGUCGAGCGGACAGAUGGGAGCUUGCUCCCUGAUGUUAGCGGCGGACGGGUGAGUAACACGUGGGUAACCUGCCUGUAAGACUGGGAUAACUCCGGGAAACCGGGGCUAAUACCGGAUGCUUGUUUGAACCGCAUGGUUCAAACAUAAAAGGUGGCUUCUGCUACCACUUACCGAUGGACCCCCGGCGCAAUAACUAAUUGGUGAAGGAAUGGCUCACCAAGGCCACCAUGCGUAACCCACCUGAAAAGGUGAUCCGCCACACUGGGACUGAAACACCGCCCAAACUCCUACCGGAAGCAACAAUAAGGAAUCUUCCGCAAUGGACCAAAGUCUGACCGAACAACCCCCCGUGAAUGAUUAAAGGUUUCCGAUCCUAAAACUCUGUUGUUAAGGAAAAACCAAUACCGUUCCAAUAAGGCGGUACCUUGACCGUACCUAACCAAAAAGCCACCGCUAACUACCUGCCAACAACCCCCGUAAUACCUAAGUGGCAAGCGUUGUCCCGAAUUAUUGGGCGUAAAGGGCUCCCAAGCGGUUUCUUAAAUCUGAUGUGAAAACCCCCCGCUCAACCCGGGAAGGUCAUUGGAAACUGGGGAACUUUAAUGCAAAAAAGAAAAUGGAAUUCCACCUGUAACCGUGAAAUGCCUAAAAAUGUGGAAGAACACAAUGGCCAAAGCCACUCUCUGGUCUGUAACUGACGCUUAAGAACCAAAACCUGGGGAACCAACAAGAUUAGAUACCCUGGUAAUCCACCCCCUAAACCAUGAAUGCUAAAUGUUAAGGGGUUUC